rnacentral:rRNA from 1 species
CACGGGGGGAGCAAGCGUUGUUCGGAAUCACUGGGCGUAAAGGGCGUGUAGGCGGUUCGGUAAGUGGAAUGUGAAAUGCUCCGGCUCACCCGGAGUACUGCAUCCCAAACUGCCGAGCUUGAGUAUGGGAGAGGAUGAGGGAAUUCCUGGUGUAGCGGUGAAAUGCGUAGAUAUCAGGAGGAACACCGGUGGCGAAGGCGCUCAUCUGGCCCAAAUACUGACGCUGAGGCGCGAAAAGCUAGGGGGAGCAAAACGGGG